rnacentral:lncRNA from 1 species
ACCUCUGUUAGGGACUGUGUGGGGUGUAGCAGAAAGGAUGCAGACUACUGGCUCUCAGAGGAUUGCUACCUGGUGAGAGUGGACACACAAGAGAGCCUGAGAGCUUUAACUGAGAGUUGAAGUUAUUCUGGAGGAGGAAGAAGGUGGUGUGACCAACCCAUGAGGGUUUGCAUCGGGGGACAAAUGUUGAGUGCAGCAUUUGAAUGGCACGCCGUCUUCUCCAGACAGGCAAGAAGAAAGAGGGCUUUGUAGCUAGAGGAAGAGCAUGCGCAAUGGCAAGGGAGACGCAAAGGCUCAGUGUUUGCCCAGAGUGAGCUGCUUUUGGAGUGGUCAUGAAUUAAAAUGGAUAUCCAACUGUUCCAUGAGGCAACGAAUGGGGAUUUUACAUAUUAAUCUCAUUCUUUAGAUCAGCAUUGUCUGCUGGAGCUCUCUGCUACCUGGGAAGGCUCUGCAUUUGGGCUGUCAAAGCCACAAGCUCAGACAAUGAAGAUGGCAAACUGAAGUCUUCCUCUAUAGGCACAACUUUGCAUCAGACAUUUGAUGGGAGAGGUCCAUCUUUGAAGGGAAGUUUUAUUUAAGUCUGUCCCUGGAUCCACAUCAUCCGUACGUCUGUCUACAGGGCAAAAAACUUCAUCUUUCAUGAGUGCAAUUUCAAACUUGGUGCCAACGAGAGACAUCUUCCCUGGACUCAAAUGCGCGAAGCCUGAACAGGACAUCUUGAGUGUUAGCUUCUCUGGGAUGGCUGCGGUGUGCAGCACAUUUUUGUUAAGGUGUUAUUCAAAGUUUCUGAUUAACAUAAGUUUUUCUUAAAAUUAUACAAAAACAUAAUACCAUGAUUAUGGAAAUAAAAAGCCACCCACAAGCUUA